GAGUAGUCAAGCUAAUAACCACUCGUAAAAUGCUACUUGCAAUUUUUACACUUUGGUUUUUGUACCAAUUAAAACAAACAAGAUAUAGUGUACUGAAUUAACUGGUGAGCUCUAGAGUUCCCCAACCUUCCCUAACCAUGAAGAGGCCAUGUGUUGUUUUUAGCGCGGGUGCGUGCUACAACUGAGUGAGCCAAAACAAAAACCGACAGACCGGAGACGGCAUCACGCAAAAUGCUGAAAACUCAGAGGACAUGGACAAACAACAUAUUUUGUCUGGAUGACAUUUUCCACCUCCACUGUCCAUCCAUCCAUCCAUCGUCAACCGCUUAUCCUACGUGCAGGUUUGCGGGGGGCUGGAGUCAAUCCCAGCAGACAUCGGGCGAAAGGCGGGGUACACCCUGUACAGGUCGCCAGUCCAU